ACACGUAGGGCGCAAGCGUUGUCCGGAUUUAUUGGGCGUAAAGGGCUCGUAGGCGGUUUCGUAAGUCGGGUGUGAAAACUCAGGGCUCAACCCUGAGACGCCACUCGAUACUGCGAUGACUUGAGUCCGGUAGGGGAGCAGGGAAUUCCUGGUGUAGCGGUGAAAUGCGCAGAUAUCAGGAGGAACACCAUUAGCGAAGGCGCUGCUCUGGGCCGGUACUGACGCUGAGGAGCGAAAGCAUGGGGAGCAAACAUAAUUAGAAACCCUAGUAGUCC
rnacentral:rRNA from 1 species